UACGAAUGGGGCAAGCGUUGUUCGGAAUCACUGGGCUUAAAGCGUGCGCAGGCGGUCUUGCAAGUCAGGAGUGAAAUCCCGGGGCUUAACCCCGGAAUUGCUUCUGAAGCUGCAAGACUAGAAUAUGGGAGAGGUUAGCAGAAUUCCGAGUGUAGAGGUGAAAUUCGCAGAUAUUCGGAGGAAUACCAGUGGCGAAGGCGGCUAACUGGACCAUUAUUGACGCUCAGGCACGAAAGCGUGGGGAGCAAACAGG
rnacentral:rRNA from 1 species